CGCUGGGGACCAAGCCACAUCGAAGGCAAGUGCUGAGAGCCACCACCGCCAGUGCCGGAGACACGAGACUGCCUGAAGUUACGUUUAGAGGCUGGAAUCUCUGCACCUUGCAAACAAAGAGCCCGACCUCCUCUGCGUUCCUCUCCCGGGCGAUCAAUCACUCCACGGAUUCCUCAGCAAGGGGCAGCGCCUCAGCUCCGGGCAGACGUGGCUCCCCCUGCUCCCGGGCCCCAAUGAACGCCUGCACUAGGCCCCAGGCCUGGAGUGAUUUGCCCGAGGAGUGA
rnacentral:lncRNA from 1 species